rnacentral:tRNA from 1 species
UUGGAUCACCUCCUUAACAGGAGACAAACAACGAUUUUGAUGUCUGAGUUAUUCAUUCUUAGGCCAAAAUCCUGUCACUUUAGGUCGAUCGGUACCUCACCUUUUUAGCUAAGAGAGUUCCAGCAAUGGUUUUCUGCUUAGUGGAGAUCUUUAGUUCCUAAACUUUGUCUAGUUCACAACCCAUUAGGGAUGAGACUCCUGGGCCAUUAGCUCAGGUGGUUAGAGCGCACCCCUGAUAAGGGUGAGGUCCCUGGUUCAAGUCCAGGAUGGCCCAUUCGGUGUAGGGGGUUUAGCUCAGUUGGUAGAGCGCCUGCUUUGCAUGCAGGAUGUCAGGAGUUCGAGUCUCCUAACCUCCACUGACUACCAAAAUCCCCAUCUCCAAAACCUGGAGUAUGAACUCGUAUGGAUUGUGUUUUAGAUUUGUCCGCUAGAUGACCCUAGCUUCUUGUCAUUUUAAGGCAUGGAAAUGAUUCCAUGAUUUGAUUGAUAGGAUGCUGGGCUCGAUGCAAUGUAUUGAGAGAUCAAUGCAUUGUUUUGAUGUCUAGCCGAACCUUGACAACUGCAUAGUUUAAGUCUGGAAAGAAUAAAGCAUCUUUAUAGAUGCAUCAUUUUUUUGUGUUAACGCAUGAAAAGGUGGUGUUAAUUCUAAAGCAAGAGCCGAGACUCCAGUAUGUUCUUUCAAAUGUGUCGAGCAUUUGAGAGUUUGAUUUUAAUUUCUAAUUUUAGACUCUAAUUUUAGAAAUUAGAAGAAUCUGUUUCAACGACAGCAAGCGUGCUGGAGAUACAUUGGUCAAGCUACAAAGGGCUCACGGCGGAUACCUUGGCACACAGAGGCGAUGAAGGA